rnacentral:rRNA from 1 species
CCUUACCCCCAAUUUAAAGGCGCAGCAGGCGGGGCAACUUACCCAAUCCCAACACGGGGGAGGUAGUGACCAAUAAAUAACAAUACCGGGCAUUUUUGGUCUGGUAAUUGGAAUGAGUACAAUCUAAAUCCUUAACGAGUAUCCAUUGGAGGGCAAGUCUGGUGCCAGCAGCCCGCGGUAAUUCCAGCUCCAAUAGCGUAUAUUUAAGUUGUUGCAGUUAAAAAGCUCGUAGUUGGAUUUCGGGUGGGUUGUAGCGGUCAGCCUUUGGUUAGUACUGCUACGGCCCUACCUUUCUGCCGGGGACGAGCUCGUGGGCUUAACUGUCCGGGACUCGGAAUCGGCGAGGUUACUUUGAGUAAAUUAGAGUGUUCAAAGCAAGCCUACGCUCUGAAUACAUUAGCAUGGAAUAACACGAUAGGACUCUGGCUUAUCUUGUUGGUCUGUAAGACCGGAGUAAUGAUUAAGAGGGACAGUCGGGGGCAUUCGUAUUUCAUUGUCAGAGGUGAAAUUCUUGGAUUUAUGAAAGACGAACUUCUGCGAAAGCAUUUGCCAAGGAUGUUUUCAUUAAUCAAGAACGAAAGUUGGGGGCUCGAAGACGAUUAGAUACCGUCGUAGUCUCAACCAUAAACGAUGCCGACUAGGGAUUGGCAGGUGUUUCGUUGAUGACCCUGCCAGCACCUUAUGAGAAAUCAAAGUUUUUGGGUUCCGGGGGGAGUAUGGUCGCAAGGCUGAAACUUAAAGGAAUUGACGGAAGGGCACCACCAGGCGUGGAGCCUGCGGCUUAAUUUGACUCAACACGGGAAAACUUACCAGGUCCAGACACGGGGAGGAUUGACAGAUUGAGAGCUCUUUCUUGAUUCUGUGGGUGGUGGUGCAUGGCCGUUCUUAGUUGGUGGGUUGCCUUGUCAGGUUGAUUCCGGUAACGAACGAGACCUCAGCCUGCUAAAUAGUCACGUCUACCUCGGUAGGCGCCUGACUUCUUAGAGGGACUAUGGCGUAGCCAAUGAAUAC